CAGCAGCCGCGGUAAUACGGAGGGUGCAAGCGUUAAUCGGAAUUACUGGGCGUAAAGCGCACGCAGGCGGUUUGUUAAGUCAGAUGUGAAAUCCCCGGGCUCAACCUGGGAAUGGCAGUGGAUACUGGCAAGCUAGAGUGUGUCAGAGGAUGGUGGAAUUCCCGGUGUAGCGGUGAAAUGCGUAGAGAUCGGGAGGAACAUCAGUGGCGAAGGCGGCCAUCUGGGACAACACUGACGCUGAGGCACGAAAGCGUGGGGAGCAAACAGGAUUAGAUACCCGGGUAGUCCCUGUCUCUUAUAC
rnacentral:rRNA from 1 species